GAUGAACGCUGGCGGCGUGCCUAAUACAUGCAAGUCGAGCGAACAGGCGAGGAGCUUGCUCCUCUGACGUUAGCGGCGGACGGGUGAGUAACACGUGGAUAACCUACCUAUAAGACUGGGAUAACUUCGGGAAACCGGAGCUAAUACCGGAUAAUAUAUUGAACCGCAUGGUUCAAUAGUGAAAGACGGUUUUGCUGUCACUUAUAGAUGGAUCCGCGCCGCAUUAGCUAGUUGGUAAGGUAACGGCUUACCAAGGCAACGAUGCGUAGCCGACCUGAGAGGGUGAUCGGCCACACUGGAACUGAGACACGGUCCAGACUCCUACGGGAGGCAGCAGUAGGGAAUCUUCCGCAAUGGGCGAAAGCCUGACGGAGCGACGCCGCGUGAGUGAUGAAGGUCUUCGGAUCGUAAAACUCUGUUAUUAGGGAAGAACAAAUGUGUAAGUAACUAUGCACGUCUUGACGGUACCUAAUCAGAAAGCCACGGCUAACUACGUG
rnacentral:rRNA from 1 species